rnacentral:rRNA from 1 species
AUUGAACGCUGGCGGCAGGCUUAACACAUGCAAGUCGAGCGGAGAGAGGUAGCUUGCUACUGAUCUUAGCGGCGGACGGGUGAGUAAUGCUUAGGAAUCUGCCUAUUAGUGGGGGACAACAUUUCGAAAGGAAUGCUAAUACCGCAUACGUCCUACGGGAGAAAGCAGGGGAUCUUCGGACCUUGCGCUAAUAGAUGAGCCUAAGUCGGAUUAGCUAGUUGAUGGGGUAAAGGCCUACCAAGGCGACGAUCUGUAGCGGGUCUGAGAGGAUGAUCCGCCACACUGGGACUGAGACACGGCCCAGACUCCUACGGGAGGCAGCAGUGGGGAAUAUUGGACAAUGGGCGGAAGCCUGAUCCAGCCAUGCCGCGUGUGUGAAGAAGGCCUUGGUUGUAAAGCACUUUAAGCGAGGAGGAGGCUACUUUAGUUAAUACCUAGAGAUAGUGGACGUUGCUCGCAGAAUAAGCACCGGCUAACUCUGUGCCAGCAGCCGCCGUAAGAC